rnacentral:tRNA from 1 species
AUUAUUUUGGCAGAUUAGUGCAAUAAAUUUAGAAUUUAUUUAUGUAUUUUAUUACAAAUAAUA